rnacentral:lncRNA from 1 species
CGGUGAGUUGGAUUUCCACCCUUAUAGUAACAUGCCCAAUCUACUCCGAAUAAUCAGAAUAUUUAGUAAAAAAUUUAUAAAUUAAUAGUUCACAUUAUAUGAUCUGAACUUUUUAUCUAGGGAAAACUUCAAAAACCCCCUCUGUGGUUUCGUAGUUUCUCACUUUGCCCCCCUGUGGUUUAAAAUGUAUCAAUUUGCCUCAUGUGGUUUCUUUUUUUUUCUUUUUCAUAUCAAUUUCAUUAUUUUUUUUUGCCUUAAAUCAGUGAUAAAGUUAAAAUUAAGGGGUACUAAAGUGAAUAUUUGAUAAAUCUAGAUGGAUUUCUAUAGUUUUUUGUAUAUAAUUUAAUAAAAUAUUAACGAAAAAACUAUUGAAAAGAUAAAAACAAAACCACAGGGGGGCAAUUUGAUACAUUUUAAAUCACAGGAGGGCAAAGUGAGAAACUAUGAAACUACAGGGGGUUUUUUUUGAAGUUUUCCCUUUUAUCUAUUAAGAUA